rnacentral:rRNA from 1 species
GACAGAGGGUGCGAACGUUGUUCGGAAUUACUGGGCGUAAAGCGCAUGUAGGCGGCAGCGCAAGUCGGGCGUGAAAUCCCACGGCUCAACCGUGGAAGUGCACUCGAAACUGCGCAGCUAGAGUCCUGGAGAGGAAGGUGGAAUGCUUGGUGUAGAGGUGAAAUUCGUAGAUAUCGUAAGGAACGCCAGUGGCGAAAGCGAAUCUCUGGGCAGCAACUGACGCUGAGGCACGAAGGCCAGGGGAGCAAACGGG